rnacentral:misc_RNA from 1 species
AGGGAUCAUUACACAAUAAACAUAUGAAGGCUGCACCGCCAACAGGCGGCAAGGCUGGAGUAUUUUAUUACCCUUGUCUUUUGCGCACUUGUUGUUUCCUGGGCGGGUUCGCCCGCCUCCAGGACCACAUGAUAAACCUUUUUUAUGCAGUUGCAAUCAGCGUCAGUACAACAAAUGUAAAUCAUUUACAACUUUCAACAACGGAUCUCUUGGUUCUG